rnacentral:rRNA from 1 species
AGCAAGUCGAACGAACUUCCAGUAUAAUUGAUUAUGACGUACUUGUACUGAUUGAGAUUUUAACACGAAGUGAGUGGCGAACGGGUGAGUAACACGUGGGUAACCUGCCCAGAAGUAGGGGAUAACACCUGGAAACAGAUGCUAAUACCGUAUAACAGAGAAAACCGCAUGGUUUUCUUUUAAAAGAUGGCUCUGCUAUCACUUCUGGAUGGACCCGCGGCGUAUUAGCUAGUUGGUGAGGUAAAGGCUCACCAAGGCAGUGAUACGUAGCCGACCUGAGAGGGUAAUCGGCCACAUUGGGACUGAGACACGGCCCAGACUCCUACGGGAGGCAGCAGUAGGGAAUCUUCCACAAUGGACGCAAGUCUGAUGGAGCAACGCCGCGUGAGUGAAGAAGGGUUUCGGCUCGUAAAGCUCUGUUGUUAAAGAAGAACGUGGGUAAGAGUAACUGUUUACCCAGUGACGGUAUUUAACCAGAAAGCCACGGCUAACUACGUGCCAGCAGCCGCGGUAAUACGUAGGUGGCAAGCGUUAUCCGGAUUUAUUGGGCGUAAAGCGAGCGCAGGCGGUCUUUUAAGUCUAAUGUGAAAGCCUUCGGCUCAACCGAAGAAGUGCAUUGGAAACUGGGAGACUUGAGUGCAGAAGAGGACAGUGGAACUCCAUGUGUAGCGGUGAAAUGCGUAGAUAUAUGGAAGAACACCAGUGGCGAAGGCGGCUGUCUGGUCUGCAACUGACGCUGAGGCUCGAAAGCAUGGGUAGCGAACAGGAUUAGAUACCCUGGUAGUCCAUGCCGUAAACGAUGAUUACUAAGUGUUGGAGGGUUUCCGCCCUUCAGUGCUGCAGCUAACGCAUUAAGUAAUCCGCCUGGGGAGUACGACCGCAAGGUUGAAACUCAAAAGAAUUGACGGGGGCCCGCACAAGCGGUGGAGCAUGUGGUUUAAUUCGAAGCUACGCGAAGAACCUUACCAGGUCUUGACAUCUUCUGACAGUCUAAGAGAUUAGAGGUUCCCUUCGGGGACAGAAUGACAGGUGGUGCAUGGUUGUCGUCAGCUCGUGUCGUGAGAUGUUGGGUUAAGUCCCGCAACGAGCGCAACCCUUAUUACUAGUUGCCAGCAUUAAGUUGGGCACUCUAGUGAGACUGCCGGUGACAAACCGGAGGAAGGUGGGGACGACGUCAAAUCAUCAUGCCCCUUAUGACCUGGGCUACACACGUGCUACAAUGGAUGGUACAACGAGUCGCGAGACCGCGAGGUUAAGCUAAUCUCUUAAAACCAUUCUCAGUUCGGACUGUAGGCUGCAACUCAGCCUACACCGCAACGUCGGCAAUCGCUACUAAUCGCGGAUCAGCAGAACCGCA